CAUUAACAAUAGAUCGGGGGACAUGGAGCCGUAAAAAACACACACAACACACGUUAAAUCACAAAAUGUCUGCCUGUGGCCGUCCGUGAAGCGGAGCCGGCGUGUGGGCCAGUAAGACGGCAGCUCCACGGGAAACAACCAAUGGCAACUGUGCUGGCACCUGGUGAACGGCUUAACCCCCAGGUGCAGGCGCCAUUGCUUGGCGUUGGCACGUUACCUGUGUUACUGGAAUCGCGGGCGAUGGUGGUAGGGAUAUUUAGCGUAAAGAGAGGCAACUGAAGGAAGUGAGACGGCACAACACGCGAUUGGAGAAAGAAUGCUUGAGUAUGGACUGCAGAGAGAAAGAGAGACAUUCCGAGGUUGUAGUGCGGUAUUGGGGCGUCGAAAUGUGGAUACUCAUGGGGGGCUCGGGCAUUGGCGGGAGUGCGACGCGGAAAGGAGAGAAAGAGAGAGAGAGAGAGAAACAGAGUGCUGAAGGCAAAACAACACUUGUACUUGGCUAUACUGUGAUGCGAUUAUAAUACCCCCAAAGUCGACUCCAAGCAUUUACUUGUCUGACUUGCGAUGCAUAAAUUCAUUGAAGAGGGCGAGGAACUGGUGAAGGAAAUCGAGUCGGUGACGAUUUCUGGUGAUGAUGAUGUUGAUGAGAGGACACACACUGGUUAUGAAUUAUGCCAUUCAAGUGAAUCUGGAGGUAUGAACCGUUUUUCUAGUCACGAUAAUCACAUCUUUUUACUGGACACGACGAACUCCAAUUAAAUAAUAAGUCAAGAUAAGUGAGUAACUUUGGUGAUGAUCAGAUUGAAGUUGGGGACACGCUGAGAAAAAUGGCGACGCUUAUGGAGGCUCUUUUGAGGCAUGCUGGACCUACAGAAGGAGUAUGCGCUUCAGGUCAUCGGAGAUUUGGAACGCUCAGUAGUAGGUGAGUGAUCCCAAUGGCUUAUCUAAAUUACUUUAUUUUCUCGUCGAUUA